rnacentral:lncRNA from 1 species
GGGCGGGGAGGGAAAGGCUCGCGGCCAGUAGAUGCAGGAGGGAGGAGGGCCUAGAGGGGCUCCGGGCUGGCGGCCUCUGUGAGGAAGGGGAAGGAUAUGGAACCAAGAUCCUUUAAAUCCUGAUGAACUCAUCCGUAAAGCAGAUGCCCAAAGGAUGAUACAAGGCAAUUUACUUCUAUAGAAGGGUGCGCCCUCACAGAUGGAGCAAUGAGAUGGAUUUCACCGUGUUAGGAUGGCCUCCAUCUCCUGACUUCAUGAUCUUCCCGCCUCGGCCUCCUGGGAUUACAGGUGUGAGCCACCGCAUCUGGCCAGAAGUUAAGUUUAAAAGUAGAAGACAAAGAAUUGAACAUACUGACAUUGAUUCUUCGAAGAGAAAUUUAGAACUCAUAUCUAACACCAGCCUCCAAUUGAUUGAGCCAAUUCCUUCAAAUAAAUCUCUCUCUGCAAUAUGCAUCCUAUUGGAUCUGUUUCUGUAGGGAAUUCUGAUUAAUAUACCCUUUCAAGGAACAGC